AUGUGUGUGUGCAUGUGUGUGUGUUGGGGUGUGUGUGCAUGUGUGUGUCUGUGUGCAUGUUUACUAAUUAGUAUCAAUGUAGGAAACCUUCAGGUCAGAGGUCAUGCUGAUGUUUCCAGCUUAGAGCAGACAGACAGGUCCAGCUGAUCUCUACCUGCUUUGUGUGAGUGUCCUCGGUCUUUCUCACUCUGUGUUUUUAACAGGAUAGAGAAGAAAAGGAGAGGUUGAUGUGUCGUGUUUUGUGGAGGAUGAUGAUAACAUCUCUAUUCAGACAAUAUUUAUAGCUGAGAAACAGAAACUCUUUCUGGACUCACUUCACCCUGAUGGUUUUGGUGAUGAUCUCUACAGAACAAUAUUUAGGUUGAUGCUACAGAAAUGAAAAGUUGCUCUGACCUUGUUCAAGGACAAGUGUGUUCUUUGGAUAGACUGUCUAACAGUAGCCUGUUAGGUUCUCAGGCUGAAAGGUUCAACAUGGAACCAUGUUAACAGAUUUAAAGGUUCAACAUAGAGCCACAUCUCAGAAUACUUUAUUUAUUUAUCUAUUUUGACUGGCAAACAUUUGAUUUGUGUGUUAUUUGUAUUCUCUGCAGUACCAGGAGAAUCUUUGACCCUGUCUGGAGAACUGGAGGAGACCUUCAGUUCUUUUCUCAGCAGAUGUCAGGCAGCUGCUGCAGCAUUUCAUGCUGAUGUCUCCCCGGUGCUUACAGCUGUGGAGGGUCUCUGGUGUUCCAGCAGGAGUCGGUGCUCACCUCAUCAUCUCAGCUGUUCAGCAUUGAAGCUCUGCAGCUUCCAGUGUUCAUCGACAGAUCGUUGUCUACCUUUA